CCUACGGGAGGCAGCAGUGAGGAAUAUUGGUCAAUGGCCGGAAGGCUGAACCAGCCAUGCCGCGUGAAGGUCAGUGCCCUAUGGGCGUUAAACUUCUUUUGUGCGGGAGCAAUAUUGGUCACGUGUGGCCAGACGAGAGUACCGUACGAAUAAGCAUCGGCUAACUCCGAGCCAGCAGCCGCGGUAAUACGGGGGAUGCAAGCGUUAUCCGGAUUUAUUGGGUUUAAACGGUGCGUAGGCUGUGAGGUAAGUCAGCGGUGAAAUGCCCCCGCUUAACGGGGUGAAGUGCCAUUGAUACUGCCUGGCUGGAAUGCAGAUGCGGUGGGAGGAAUGUGUGGUGUAGCGGUGAAAUGCAUAGAUAUCACACAGAACACCGAUUGCGAAGGCAUCUCACGAAUCCGCGAUUGACGCUGAUGCACGAAAGCGUGGGUAUCAAACAGGAUUAGAUACCCUGGUAGUC
rnacentral:rRNA from 1 species